AAGACUAUAGACCUGCGGAGUACCUGCGGAAGGAUCAUUAAAGAGAAAACUGCCCUUUGGGUAGAUCUCCCACCCUUUGUUUAUAUUACCUUUGUUGCUUUGGCAGGCCCGUCUCUGACCACCGGCUCUUUGGCUGGUCUGUGCCUGCCAAGAGACCUCCAACUCUUGAUUUGAAGUUGUCCAAGUCUUAUAUAAUAGUAAAAACUUUCAGCAACGGAUCUCUAGAUCGGAAGAGCACAC
rnacentral:misc_RNA from 1 species